UCCCUGUUCGUGGGGGUGUGCGACCGCGUCUACGCCAGCCUGCUGAAUUAUAGGAUGGUACACGCCAACGGGUACCUGGACUCGUACAUGUAGAUGAAUAAAACCUUUGUGUUUGACGGGCAAGAAAGAGCGCCAGAACUGCUGAAAAUCUGAAGAUCUCGCUUGGCCCGGGUGACGAGCCCCUGUUGUUCGAGGGGGCGAGAUAUGUCAGCGUGCUCCAUUACAGGAUAGUCCAGGUGUGCCUUCGGGCACCUGGACUCUGUACAUGUAGAGAAAGAAAACUUGGUGCGAAGUUUAGUGUGUUCGUGUAAAGGAAGAGCGGAAUUGCUUAAAAUCUGCAGGACUGUAACUUUAAUGAGAUCAGUAUGGAAUUUAUACCAACUUCACCUUCGAACGCAAACAGAGUCGAGUUUGAGUGAGCUGAGCUGAGGUCGGGUUAGCU
rnacentral:lncRNA from 1 species